UACAUGGGGUGCAAACGUUGCUCGGAAUUAUUGGGCGUAAAGCGCACGUAGGCGGUCUACUAAGUCGGAUGUGAAAGCCCUCGGCUUAACCGAGGAAGUGCAUCCGAAACUGGCAGGCUAGAGUACAGAAGAGGGUCGCGGAAUUCCCGGUGUAGAGGUGAAAUUCGUAGAUAUCGGGAGGAACACCGGUGGCGAAGGCGGCGACCUGGGCUGAUACUGACGCUGAUGAGCGAAAGCGUGGGUAGCAAACAGG
rnacentral:rRNA from 1 species